rfam:Salmo salar isolate Sally breed double haploid chromosome ssa13, whole genome shotgun sequence.
UGCACGCGUGACUGUAAGUCGCUUUGGAUAAAAGCAUCUGCUAAAUGGCAUGUU